rnacentral:rRNA from 1 species
CCAGACUCCUACGGGAGGCAGCAGUGGGGAAUCUUCCGCAAUGGGCGCAAGCCUGACGGAGCAACGCCGCGUGAGUGAAGAAGGUCUUCGGAUCGUAAAGCUCUGUUGAUGGGGACGAACGUGCCUAAUGCGAAUAGUUUUAGGCAAUGACGGUACCCAUCGAGGAAGCCACGGCUAACUACGUGCCAGCAGCCGCGGUAAUACGUAGGGGGCGAGCGUUGUCCGGAAUCAUUGGGCGUAAAGGGAGCGCAGGCGGGCAUGUAAGUCUUUCUUAAAAGUGCGGGGCUCAACCCCGUGAUGGGAAAGAAACUAUGUGUCUUGAGUACAGGAGAGGAAAGCGGAAUUCCCAGUGUAGCGGUGAAAUGCGUAGAUAUUGGGAAGAACACCAGUGGCGAAGGCGGCUUUCUGGACGGCAACUGACACUGAGGCUCGAAAGCCAGGGGAGCGAACGGGAUUAGAUACCCCGGUAGUCCUGGCCGUAAACGAUGGAUACUAGGUGUAGGAGGUAUCGACCCCUCCUGUGCCGGAGUUAACGCAAUAAGUAUCCCGCCUGGGGAGUACGGUCGCAAGACUGAAACUCAAAGGAAUUGACGGGGGCCCGCACAAG